rnacentral:tRNA from 1 species
UCCCUAGUGGCUCAGAGGUUGAAGUGUCUGCCUGCAAUACGGGAGACCCGGGUUCGAUCCCUGGCUUGGGAA